UACGUAGGGGGCAAGCGUUAUUCGGAAUUAUUGGGCGUAAAGGGCGCGUAGGCGGCUUGGCAAGUGGAUGGUGAAAUCCCUCGGCUUAACCGAGGAACUGCCGUCCAAACUGCUUUGCUUGGAGGCCGGGAGAGGCGAGUGGAAUUCCCAGUGUAGCGGUGAAAUGCGUAGAUAUUGGGAGGAACACCAGUGGCGAAGGCGGCUCGCUGGACCGGUUCUGACGCUGAUGCGCGAAAGCGUGGGGAGCAAACGGG
rnacentral:rRNA from 1 species